UGGGAUAGUUAAAUCCUAAUAUUUUGAUAUCCUGUCAGUGAGAUGAUUGAAUGCUGAUACUUAUAUCCUGCUAGUAGAGAUUAUGCGCUUGUACUUUGAUUUAGUUGAUAGCUAUCCGAAUGAAAAUAAUAUUUUGAAAAAAAAUUGAUUUAUGAAUGAAAAUAAGUUUACAUUGAUGUUAUUUGAUUAAUGUUGCAUAUUUUGAAUUGAUAUAUUUUACAUGCUUAUUUUUAAUAUAUUAUUA
rnacentral:lncRNA from 1 species